rnacentral:rRNA from 1 species
GACGAACGCUGGCGGCGUGCUUAACACAUGCAAGUCGAACGGAAAGGCCCUGCUUUUUUGGUGUGCUCGAUUGGCGAACGGGUGAGUAACACGUGAGUAACCUGCCCUUGACUUUCGGAUAACUUCAGGAAACUAGGGCUAAUACCGGAUAGGAGCUCCUGCUGCAUGGUGGGGGUUGGAAAUUUUCGGCGGUUGGGGAUGGACUGGCGGCUUAUCAGCUUGUUGGUGGGGUAGUGGCUUACCAAGGCUUUGACGGGUAGCCGGCCUGAGAGGGUGACCGGCGACAUUGGGACUGAGAUACGGACCAGACUCCUACGGGAGGCAGCAGUGGGGAAUAUUGUACAAUGGGAGGAAGCCUGAUGAAGAAACGCCGAGUGCGGGAUGACGGCCUUCGGGUUGUAAACCGCUUUCGCCUGUGACGAAGCGUGAGUGACGGUAAUGGGUAAAGAAGCACCGGCUAACUACGUG